UGCAUCGGUCGGGAAUCGAACCCGGGCCGCCCGCGUGGUAGGCGAGCAUUCUACCACUGAACCACCGAUGC